AACGCUUACAAUUCACGUUGCGCAAAUAACGUUUGUUUACUUGCUGCUCAGUUUGAUGAAGUAGUUUCACACGAGACGAUUCCAGCUAGGAGAAGUACAUGUAGUCAAAGAAACGUCAAGCAAAUAAGUGAAAAAGUUGUGCGCGUAGAAGUUCAGGUGCGAAAAUUGCAAUACGCGUAGUAACAAUUUGCGACGCAAUGCAUUAACAAAUUGGCCACGCGUGCAAGUGUCAAUACAAAUACAUAUAUGUCUAUGCAUAUGUGUAUAUCAACGCAGUGCCAAACGCAAUGAAACAGCUCUCAAUUCGACUAUUGCUAACCUAGUUUCACUUCCCAAACAACAAAAAUCAACAAAAAAACCCCAAGAAAUAAUCUAAAAA